GCGCCCGUAGCUCAGCUGGAUAGAGCGCCGGACUUCGAAUCCGUAGGCCGCAGGUUCGAACCCUGCCGGGCGCGCUA
rnacentral:tRNA from 1 species